rnacentral:rRNA from 1 species
UCGAGGAUCUUCGGCAAUGGGCGCAAGCCUGACCGAGCGACGCCGCGUGUGGGAUGAAGGCCCUUGGGUUGUAAACCACUGUCAGAGGGGAUGAAAUGCCGGAAGGUUCUCCUUUCGGUUUGACAUAGCCUCAGAGGAAGCACGGGCUAAGUUCGUGCCAGCAGCCGCGGUAAUACGAACUGUGCAAACGUUAUUCGGAAUCACUGGGCUUAAAGGGUGCGUAGGCGGCUUGUUAAGUAGGGUGUGAAAGCCCCCGGCUCAACCGGGGAAUUGCGCCCUAAACUGGCGAGCUGGAGUGAGAUAGGGGUAUACGGAACUUCCGGUGGAGCGGUGAAAUGUGUUGAUAUCGGAAGGAACGCCGGUGGCGAAAGCGGUAUACUGGGUCUCAACUGACGCUGAGGCACGAAAGCCAGGGGAGCAAACGGGAUUAGAUACCCCCGUAGUCC